AAGAAGAACGAAAACCAAAAGAAAGCUUCUAACUUAACUUUUUAGCAGUGUAACUCUGUUAGUUCUUCU
rnacentral:tRNA from 1 species